GGUCCUCUUUGAGUGAUGAAGAUGUCAGGGACCCAUUGAGCUCCAGAAGCAUCGUUCUGAGCCAGUACCAGCUGUCCAGGUCUUAAGAUUCCAUCUUUUGCUCUGUAUGUAUGCCUGAUGACUUGACCUUGCUGUUGACGUUGCACAACUUGUUAUGGUUCAGAAGAUUUCAUCAGAUCAAAGCAAGUGUGCAGCUGACAUCCCAUCAUUAGAAAGGCUGGGGACGUUGUAGCUGUAGCAUGAGCAGUUUGUUUGCUGUCCGAGCCAGUGGGCAUAAAUGAUUUGUGUGUGUGAGAGAUGAACUGCCAGUUGGAGCAUGACCAAAACACAGCAGCUGCCAGUCUGCCAGCAGUCACAAGUGGCUGCAGAGCUGCUCCACAGAGCUCACUUUCACUUUGUGACUUUGGUGCAUCCAACAGAUGUGGAGGUGGAGACAGAGGAUCUGUGCAGCAACAGACUGGAAAAUCCACACAGUGAGCAAAUGCUUUGCCCCACACUUCUACCAGCUCUUCUCUUCCCAGCCUCCGGAAUGGCCUCACAAUUGCCUCUGAGCCAUGGAAUCAGACAGAUCCCUCUGCCAAGGGUUAUUCUGCAGCUGUGAUGGACUGAGGUAGAUUUCUCCAUCACUGAAAAUUACAUAUAGAUUUUGUUCGCUCUGUCAAUGACAUACACACUGAUAGAUGGACAAUAUAGGUUGCCAUAAGUUGCAUGGGCAGGGAACAAUGAAAGAUUUCAGCCCGGGUGUGCGAGGAAGCCUGCAGCAGCAAGAAGCUCAACCAGUCAUUGGUGUAAUGCAGUGGAUAAAAUACAGC